GACGAACGCUGGCGGCGUGCUUAACACAUGCAAGUCGGACGGAAAGGCCCCCUUGUGGGGUACUCGAGUGGCGAACGGGUGAGUAACACGUGAGUAACCUACCCUUGACUUUGGGAUAACUUCAGGAAACUGGGGCUAAUACCGGAUAGGAGCUCCUGCUGCAUGGUGGGGGUUGGAAAGUUUCGGCGGUUGGGGAUGGACUCGCGGCUUAUCAGCUUGUUGGUGGGGUAGUGGCUCACCAAGGCUUUGACGGGUAUCCGGCCUGAGAGGGUGACCGGCCACAUUGGGACUGAGAUACGGCCCAGACUCCUACGGGAGGCAGCAGUGGGGAAUAUUGCACAAUGGGCGGAAGCCUGAUGCAGCAACGCCGCGUGCGGGAUGACGGCCUUCGGGUUGUAAACCGCUUUCGCCUGUGGCGAAGCGUGAGUGACGGUAAUGGGUAAAGAAGCACCGGCUAACUACGU
rnacentral:rRNA from 1 species